ACGGAUAGGAAAUUAAGAGGCAUCUUUUAAUUUUUAAAAGACCUUUUUCGAAAGGUAUGCUUAAAGAGGGGCUUGCGCCACAUUAGUUAGUUGGUAAGGUAAAGGCUUACCAAGACGAUGAUGUGUAGCUGGACUGAGAGGUCGAACAGCCACAUUGGGACUGAGACACGGCCCAAACUCCUACGGGAGGCAGCAGUAAGGAAUUUUUGGCAAUGGAGGAAACUCUGACCGAGCGACGCCGCGUGAACAAUGAAGUACUUCGGUAUGUAAAGUUCUUUUAUUGAAAAAGAAAAAAUAGUGGAAAAACUAUCUUGACAUUAUUCAAUGAAUAAGCCCCGGCUAAUUAUGUGCCAGCAGCCGCGGUAAUACAUAAGGGGCGAGCGUUAUCCGGAAUUAUUGGGCGUAAAGGGUGCGUAGGCGGUUUGAUAAGUCUAUAGUUUAAAUGCAGUGCUUAACGCUGUAGCGCUAUAGAAACUGUCUGACUAGAGUUAGAUAGAGGCAAGCGGAAUUCCAUGUGUAGCGGUAAAAUGCGUAAAUAUAUGGAGGAACACCAGAGGCGUAGGCGGCUUGCUGGGUCUUAACUGACGCUGAGGCACGAAAGCGUGGGGAGCAAACAGGAUUAGAUACCCUGGUAGUCCACGCCGUAAACGAUGAGUACUAAGUGUCGGGUUUCGGCUCGGUACUGAAGUUAACACAUUAAGUACUCCGCCUGAGUAGUACGUACGCAAGUAUGAAACUUAAAGGAAUUGACGGGACCCCGCACAAGCGGUGGAUCAUGUUGUUUAAUUCGAAGAUACACGAAAAACCUUACCAGGUCUUGACAUAAUUUUGCGACAUUAUAGAAAUAUAAUGAAGGUUAUCAGAAUUACAGGUGGUGCAUGGUUGUCGUCAGCUCGUGUCGUGAGAUGUUAGGUUAAGUCCUAAAACGAGCGCAACCCUUGUCGUUAGUUGCGACCACGUAAUGGUGAGCACUUUAGCGAGACUGCCAAUGAAAAAUUGGAGGAAGGUGAGGAUUACGUCAAAUCAUCAUGCCCCUUAUGAUCUGGGCUACAAACGUGAUACAAUGGCUGUUACAAAGAGUAGCUACAACGUGAGUUUUUAGCCAAUCUCAAAAAAACAGUCUCAGUUCGGAUUGAAGUCUGCAACUCGACUUCAUGAAGUUGGAAUCGCUAGUAAUCGCGAAUCAGCAUGUCGCGGUGAAUACGUUCUCGGGGUUUGGAU
rnacentral:rRNA from 1 species